ACAUUUGCGUCGGAAUUUUUUAUUUUUAGGUAUUCUAGAAUUUUGUAGAAAAUUUCAAAAAUUGGCAUUUUCACCACUUUUUAAGGGGUGCGGAACGAAAAUGGUAACUCUAGAAGAGGUGAAAUUAAUUUUCACCUCUUCAAAAAAAAAAAGAAAAAAACGUUAUACUGGUAGCCCUAUCAUCAGCUGUUGUUUACUUUUCGAAAUGUCAAAAAGUUCAGUCGCAAAAGAAAUCCGGGAGUAUUUCUGAUUUUUAAUCAAACAUGUUCGAUUCGUUCCGAUGCAUUUUUAUGUGGAUGGUUAUUCCAGUAUGCAGAUACACAUCAGGACAUAAUCAUCACCCGGACCUAAUACGAGCUGGAGGAGAAAUGAGCCGAGAAGAUAUCUCUUGAACUAUACAACCUUGAAACUGGAAGAAUUAUGCUAUACCAGGACCAAAUAGAGCAUCCAUCAUGCCAUCAGCUCCAGAUUCAUGCAGCUCCGGUGGCUAACCAAUAUCACGAAUUGUGCCCGCAUUCGGCUUAGACGGUAGUGACCCGAUAUUCCGAUAAGUUCCAGCAUUAGAAAACGAUGAUCUAGCUAGACGGCUGGGAACGGUACGUCUAGGGAGAACUCCAGCAACGGUACAACCCCGAAGCACACGAGGAGAACAGUCAAAUCCAGACAGUCGCUGUACUCAAGCCUAAGGAAAACUUGCAAUAACCUGCGACGUCCAAGGGUGCUGUUAACACUUCAUGCAUAUCUUCACAAACGGAAAACUGACGUCAAUCCGUCAAUGUAAAAUUCAAUCUCUGAGAUUAUUCCAAAUUUUAAGUUAAUCCAAAAAAUCAAACUUUCUCAGAUAUUUGUUUUAGCAUUCCUGCCAUUCAUGUAGCAAGAAUAUGUCCAGGCAUUGUUUAAAGGAUUUUUCUAUAAAUUAAUUCAAAGAAACUUCUGGGUAAUUAUCAAGAUUCUCAAAGAGCUUCAACAGAUAUUCCUUCCAAAGUUCAUCCAAGAGCUAUUCGGGGAAUUUACCACGAUUUCUGUUCAUUAAAUUUAUUCAGGAUUUUCUGCGAAAUUGUACCAGUGAUUGUUUAAUGCAUUUCCGUAAAGGUUUUCCCAGGAAUUGAUCUAAACAUUCAUCCAAAAACUUCUCAACGCGUUCUUCUCAAUUCAUUCCGAGAACUCUUUACGAAAUUUGUCAAAAAUCUCUUAAAUAAUUUCUGGCUAAAUCCGUGCAAACAUAUCUGCAGGGCUGGUAGCAGAUCUCUUUUGAAAAAGUUGGCAUCUAUUUUAAUGAAGCCUCAAAAAAGUCAAUAUUUUGAAUG